CGGUGGAUGAUGUGGAUAAUUCGAUGCAACGCGAAAACCUUACCUACCCUUGACGAUGUCUGGAACCUUGCUGAGAGGCGAGGGUGCCUUCGGGAGCCAGAACACAGGUGCUGCAUGGCUGUCGUCAGCUCGUGUCGUGAGAUGUUGGGUUAAGUCCCGCAACGAGCGCAACCCUUGUCAUUAGUUGCCAUCAUUUAGUUGGGCACUCUAAUGAGACUGCCGGUGACAAACCGGAGGAAGUGGGGAUGACGUCAAGUCCUCAUGGCCCUUAUGGGUAGGGCUUCACACGUCAUACAAUGGUCGGUACAGAGGGUUGCCAAGCCGCGAGGUGGAGCCAAUCCCUUAAAGCCGAUCGUAGUCCGGAUCGUAGUCUGCAACUCGACUACGUGAAGUCGGAAUCGCUAGUAAUCGCGGAUCAGCACGCCGCGGUGAAUACGUUCCCGGGCCUU
rnacentral:rRNA from 1 species